rnacentral:tRNA from 1 species
GGGCCGUUAGCUCAGCAGGUAGAGCAGUAGUAAUCUAUUGGUCGAUGGUUCGAUCCCAUCACGGCCCA